UUAACUGAACAACUGCCAAUUUCUCAGCUGAGCGGAAUGUCCAUAAAGUUAGAAUAUGGUCAUAGAAGAACAACCUAAGCCAAAUGUGGCAACUCUCAGCAUGGCGGUGGGAAACAGUUGGGAGGAGGUAGAUAGGACCUGAAGCUUCCAAUGAAGCCAGAAAAGAGCAACCAAAGUAUUGGAUGGUCUGGCACAGUUGAGGUUAAUAAAACUCUUCAAAGCAGUGUGAUUAGCGUUAGUCUUCAAAAUGUCAGCAGGGAAAACCCUACUUCUUCUUGAUUUUAUGUGCUGGCUGCCAGCGGCCCUGGAGAGAGAAAGAGGUGGAAAAUGCUUCAAGGGUAUUGUCUGUGCCUGCUACCUUUCUGCCCUCUCAAGAUCAUGCUGCCCCCAGAAGAAACAAGCAGAAACAGUGUCAUGGAAACCAAGACAAGAGGGUGUAUUGCUACUUCCAAAUAAUGCGUGCACUAUGAUUCCAUCCUCCAAUUAGAA
rnacentral:lncRNA from 1 species